AUUUAAGUAGUUUAAUUAAAAUAUUGAUUUGUGGUGUCAAAUAUGUCUCAGUGAUCUUGAAUU
rnacentral:tRNA from 1 species